CCCAAGUCCAGAAACGUAGCAAGGAGAGCUGUAAAAUAAUCCAUGUGACAUCAGUGGUUCAUCUGCAAUUAUACAAAUUUUGGAGAAUAUCCACUGGACGUAUGCCGAUACACUGUUUCCGUUCAGAUCAAAUCACAACAACAAGAAACAGAUCUCAGCUGAGAACAGCAUAUUCUCGGAUAUUCUCCAAAAUUCGUAUAAUUGCGGAUGAACCACUGAUGUCACAUGGGUUAUUUUACAGCUCUCCUUGCUACGUUUCUGGACUUGGGAACAUUUCAGUUGCGUUGCUGUCUAUGCAGGGUCAGACAGCUCUCAGAUUCAAUCAAAAAUAUCUUAAUUUGUGUUCUGAAGAUGAAUGAAGGUCUUACGGGUUUGAAGCCACAUGAGGGUGAGUAAUUAAUGACAGAAUUUUCAUUUUUGGGUGAACUAACCCUUUAAGGUAGAUCUUCGCAUUUUUAUAUGAAUAUGUUCCAUUAACGUUUGACAGCCAGACAGUGACAAAUGCUUUAAUUUGAACUGUAUCUACCUUUUUCUUGUCGUAAAAAUGGGCACGGUCAUUUGUAAAUUCUAUGGGUCUGGCUUCUGGUCUCAUCUGCGUCCACUCCGUCCAGCUAUUUUUAGCUGAACUAAACAGUUUGUUUUACUGCUUGAUAUUGAAAGUUGGUGUGUCUUAUCAUGUUAUUUUAAUGUAUUAUCUUAAUUAUGAACACAUUGGUUUGUAGUGCAAACAGUUUUACCAUUUACUGCACGUCGUUAUUCUCCUCGUUAUUUACCUAUAGCGGCUAAUAAACCGGAAGUCUCACCCAUAAGCUUACUUCCGCGUUGAGGAAAAAGGUGGAUAUCUACUGUUUAUUCGUUUUUGUUCAGAAAAAAGUGUGAAGUAAGUGCUCAAAUAUGUUUUCGGGCCACUAUAUAUACACACACACACACACGCUUGCUCUCUCUUCAUACACGUAUACUUAUCCUUCACCCUUUCUCUUUUUUUUUUUUUACGUCAGUCUCUCUCCCUCUGUCCCGUCGGGCCGUGUGGAUCCGCCCCUGCUUAAUUUUAUAAUUUCGCCCCUUUCUGAAUUUCCCGACUACAAAAGUCUGUCUGACAUUUCUCUCUCAGUCUCAGCAGGGGAGCGGGGAAUAUCUCAAGCCAGCUACACAAAGGGAAAACAGGGGGCCCCAUUACUCACCAGGACAGGGUGA
ensembl:lncRNA